UACGGAAGGCAGCAGUGGGGAAUAUUGCACAAUGGGCGCAAGCCUGAUGCAGCCAUGCCGCGUGUAUGAAGAAGGCCUUCGGGUUGUAAAGUACUUUCAGUCGUGAGGAAGGUGUUAAGGUUAAUAACCUUAGCAAUUGACGUUAGCGACAGAAGAAGCACCGGCUAACUCCGUGCCAGCAGCCGCGGUAAUACGGAGGGUGCGAGCGUUAAUCGGAAUUACUGGGCGUAAAGGGCACGCAGGCGGUUAAUUAAGUUGGAUGUGAAAUCCCCGGGCUUAACCUGGGAAUGGCAUUCAAGACUGGUUAGCUAGAGUCUUGUAGAGGGGGUGAAGUUCCAUGUGUAGCGGUGAAAUGCGUAGAGAUGUGGAGGAAUACCGGUGGCGAAGGCGGCCCCUGGGACAAAGACUGACGCUCAUGUGCGAAAGCGUGGGGAGCGAAACAGGAUUAGAUACC
rnacentral:rRNA from 1 species